GAUUCGUGCCAGUAAUGUCGGGAUGAGAUGGUAUCUCAUUGCGGUUUUGAUUUCUAAUUCUCUAAUGGCUGAUGAUUGUGAGAAUUUCCUCAUGUGUCUUUUAGCCACUUGAAUGUCUUCUGUGGUGAAGUGUCUGUUCAUAUCCCUUGCCCAUCUUUUAGUUGGAUGGUUUGUCUUUCUGUUGUAGAGAUUUUGGAUUUUCCAAUAGAUUUUAGAGAUAUAGACCUUUGUCGGAUUUGUCACAAGCAAAUUUUUUUUCCAAAUCUGUAGGUUCUCUUUUUACUCUUUUGGCGAACUGUUUUUAUGACCAUAAGUGUUUAAUUUUUAGAAGAUUCCAGUUAUCUAGCUUAUCUAUCUUCUGGUGCUUGUGUGUUGUUAGUUAUGGUUUAUAUGUGUUAAAACCGUGUAUUAGGGCCUCUUGCAUUGACCCUAUUUUUUCUUCUGUGAUCCAUAUAGUUUUUGGUAUUAUAUUUAGGUCUUUGAUCCAUUUUGAAUUAGUUUUUGUGUAUGGUGUGAGAUAUGAGUCCUCUUUCAUUUUUUUGCAGAUGAACAUCCAGUUUUGCCGACCUUAGUUGUUAAAAAGACUAUCUGUUCCCCAUGAUGGACUUUGGGCCUUUGCCAAAAAUCAGGUGACCGUAGGUGGAUGGAUUUAUAUCUGGGUUCUCAGUUGUGUUCCAUUGGCCAAUGUGUCUGUCGUUGUACCAGUACCAGGCUGUUUGGCUACGGUAGCUGUGUAAUAGAUUCUGAGGUCAGGUGUAGUACAAGUCUUCCUACUUUAUUGUUCUUCAGUAGUGCUUUACUUAUUCAGGGCCUCUUCUCUUUCCAUAUAAAGUUAAUGGUUAGUUUUUCCAUCUCUUUAAAUAAUGCUGUUGGUAUUUGGAUCAGGAUUGCAUUGUAUUUGUAGAUUGCUUUGGGUGAAAUUGACAUUUUCACAAUGUUGAGUCUACCUAUCUAUGAGCAUGGUAUGUAUUUCCAUUUAUGUAGAUCUCUUGGUUUCUUUUAGUAGUGUUUUAUAGUUUUCUUUGUAUAGGUCUUUUAUAUCCCAUGUUAGAUUUAUUCCUAAGUAUUUUAUUUUUUUAGGUGCUAUUAUAAAUGGUAUUGUUUCCCUGAUUUCCUUUUCAUUGUUGUCUUUAUUGGUGUUUAGAAAUCCAACUGAUUUUUUUUAUGUUUGUCUUGUAUCAUGCUGCUAUGCUGAAUUUUUCUAUUACUUCCAGUAGUUUUCUUGUGGAAUCUUUUGACUUUUCUAUGUAUAAACCCAAACCAAACCCACUGCUGUUGAGUCGAUUGCAACUCAUAGUGACCCUACAGGACAGAGUAGAACUGCUCCAUAGAGUUUCCAAGGAGUGCCUGGCGGAUCUGAACUGCUGAUGUCUCGGUUAGCAGCCAUGGCACUUAACCAUUAUGCCACCAGGGUUUCCUUUCUAUGUAUAAAUAUGUAUAUUUAUGUAUACAUAUUCUAUGUAUAGUAUCAUAUAAUUGGCAGAUAAGGACAGUUUUGCUUCAUCAUUACCAGUGUGGAUGCCCUUUAUUCCUUUUUCUUGCUUUAUUGGUCUAGCUAGGACUUCCACCACAAUGUUAAACAGGAGUGGUGAUAAAGGCCAUCCUGUUCUCAAGGGGAAUGUUUUCAGCCUCUCUUCAUUAAAAAUGAUGUUGGCUGUUGGUUUUGUAUAAAAAACCAAAACCAAACCCAGUGCCAUCAAGUCAAUUCCGACUCAUAGCGACCCUAUAGGACAGAGUAGAACUGCCCCAUAGAGUUUCCAAGGAGCGCCUGGUGGACUUGAACUGCCGACCCUUUGCUUACCAGCUGCAGCACUUAACCACUGUGCCACUAUAAAAAAAAAAAUCCCGUUAAUUAUGUUGAGGAUUUUCCCUCCUAUAAUAUCUCUUGUAUUGAGAAUUUUUUAUCAGGAGUGGGUGUUGGACUUUGUUGAAUGCCUUUUCUGUGUUGAUUGAGAUCAUCAUGUGAUUCUUUUGUUUCGUUUUUUUAAUGUGGUGGAUUACGUUGAUUGAUUUCAUAAUGUUGAACCAUCCUUGCAUACCUGGUAUGAAUCCCUACACCUAUACGAUUUAUUCCCUCUUUUAUUGUUCUGAUAUUGUUGUCAUUUACAGGUUAACCUCCCUGGUUCCCUGUCAUAAAUCUUUUAGUUUUGUUUUAUUCUUCAGAGUUCAUUACCUACGUUGGUAUCUGGCUGAUGUGGUCUUGCAUUCUAGAUACAGGCCAUUGUCUGAUGUUGUUGUUUCUCUAACCAGAGGACUCCCUUUCACAAUUCUUGUAAAUUUGAUUUGGUUUUUAGAUAUUCCCUCAAUUUCUGUUUAUCUGGAAAUGCCUUAUUUCACCAUCAUAUUUGAACAAGAGUUUUGCAGGAUAUAUUAUUCUCAGUUGGCAAUUUUUUUCUUUCAAGGUUUUAUAUAUGUCAUCCCAUUGCCUUCUUGCCUGCAUGGUUUCUGCCGAAUAAUCAGAUUAGUCUUAUUGUUACCCCUCUGUAUUUGACUUUUUGUUUUUCUCAAGCUGCUCUCAGGAUUCUUUCUUUGUCUUUGGUUUUAGCAAGUUUGAUUAUGGUAUGUCUUGGUGAUUUUCUUCUCAAGGUUUAUCCUAUAUGGAGCUCGUUGAGCUUCUUGGAUGGUCAGGUUUUCAUCUUUCAUGAUAUUAGGGAAGUUUUCUGUCAGCAAUUCUUCAAUGAUCGUCUCUGUGUUUUCCGUUUUCUGUCCCUAUUCUGGAAUUCUGUUCACUUGUAAAUUUUUGCCUUUGAUUGUGUCCCACAUUGUUCUCAGGGUUUCUUCAUUUUUCUUCAUUCUGUUUUCUGAUUUUUCCUCAAAGUGAUAGCCAAGGAUUUGUCUUCAAUUUUGCUGAUCCUGUCUUCCAUUGUUUCAAAUUUGUUUCUAAAACCUUCUAUUGCACUGUCCAUUUCUGACAUCUUGUUAUUUAUCUUUUGGAUUUCUAAUUGCUGUUUUUGUAUGAUUUUUAAUAGUGAGCUUAUUUUGACCUUUUUUUCUGUACUAUUUUCCUGAAUUCAUUAUUUUGUCUGUCUUUUAUGAUUUUGUCUAUUUUUUCCUUAUUUUUGUCUGCAUUUUCCUUCAUCUCUUGUAAAGUGCUGAAUAUUAGAGUCUUGAAUUCCCUAUUAGGUAGUUCCAGUGCCUUUUCUGCUACCAGAAGGUCAUCUGGUAUUUUAUUUUGGACACUUAUUGGAACCAUUCUGUCCUGUUUUUUUUGUAAAUAUUGUGUACUGUUUUCAGGGCAUUCAGUAAUUAUUGUCUUCAUUUUUUGAUGGUAGGUUUGUUUGUUUUGUCCUGCUUUUUUUAUUUGGUUAGGUCUGGGCAGAUGGGCUGGGUGUUCUUUGUUGUUUGUUCAUCUGAGGACAAAAUCCUUCUCACCAUCUUGUCCAGGUGGGCAGGGACAGUUGCUCAGCUAUGUAGUAGCAGGGCAGGUCCACCAGAGGGGGAGGGGCAGGAAUGGGUCGAUUGUGCCAUGUAAUGGAGCCAACAGGGUGGGACCUGGGGGCAGUGCUGGGCAGGGUGCAAUGCUCAGCAUGUGGUGCAGAUAGGCAGGAGGUAAGGAGAGAAUGUGAUGUGUGGAGCUAAUUGGGUGUGGGAAAGAAGAGAGAGAAAUAGACGCUCAUUAAAAAAAGGUGCUGAGGGACCCUGCCGUUGGAGUGGUGCAGACCCAGGGAAGCCAUGUACCAGUGGCUUUCUAGCCAGGCAAUGUGGCACAGCCCAUCAAGAAGGGGCAGAGACAGCAUACGUGUCUAGGUGGGCAGGAGAAAGGAAGGGAACAAAGGGAGAGAAAGAUAAGAAACUGGAAAAAAAAAAAAAAAGUGAGAAAAGCACAUACGGCCAGGUAGUCAGGAGGAAGGAAAGGAAGAAAGGUAUAGAAAGACAAGAAACCAAGAAAAAAAGAAAACUGCCCCACGGGAGCCCACUGAAAGUGACUCCCCAACUGAGUGGCACUGCACAGCCCAUCAAGAAGGAGCAGUGAUGUCACAUGUCCGCAUUAGCUGAUAAAAAAAAAAAAAUAGGGGACCUCUAUUCCCAUAUAGGCAAUGCUGAAACAGUAGGAUAAAUUCUAUGGUAGGGGACAUUCAGGUACUAUGGUAGUCCAGGCAGGCUUGAUGGGGAAGCCAUGCUUUCACUGAAAACUGAAAGGUAAAUAGCUCUCCAAGCAGAAGGCAAUAGAUGAGUAUUUUAGGCAGAAACAAAACACAUCCAUAGUCCCAGAGGCACCUGGGAGUUAGAAGAGAGGAAGUGAGAGAAGUUCAAGACAACUCAUACAGAAAGGAGUGAGAGAUGUGCUGGAGAUUAAGUAGUGACUAAAAUCAUGAAGGGCCCAUAAGCCAUAUGAGUAUGCAGGAGACCAGGUGAUAGGGAGUCAUUGAAGGUUCUAAGCAGUGAAGCAGUACAGGUGGAUUUUCAGUGAGAUUGCAGAUUUGGGGCACUUUAAAAUCAUUAUGUUCACACAGCUUGUUAUUUUUCUGAGGUUUACAGUUAUAUUUGACCUAUUUGCCUUAUUCCUGGCCUACACCCCUGACAUUGAUGAAGGCCCUUGUUGUUGGUUAGAUUCUGAGGAGGCAUUCACUCCUCAAGGUUCUUGGGUCUGACUUUACCUGCUUCUGACUCACAGCGAUUGAUGGCAUCAUUUUGAAGAAAGCAGAGGAUUAGAGAGAAUGGGUAAUCAUCUGGGCUUAAAAUAUUCAGUAAACCAUGAUGGAGGUGGAGCCAAGAUGGCGGAAUAUACAGAGGCUUCUCAAGCCCUCUUUACAACAAAGACCCGAACAAACAAGUGAAACGAGUAUAUUUGUGACACGCUGGGAACCCUGAGCAUCAAAGGAAAGCUUAGACAACGAACUGAGGGGCAGGGGGAAGAAGAGACCGUUCAGAAGUGGAGAGGAGCUACCGGACCUGAAUUGCGGGGACCCCUCAGGUACCAUUCCGGGAGCGGUGGCGGCAGCGCCGGGCUGAUACUAGUGUUCGGCCGCAGUUUCCUCAGGGAGAAGCAGCCAGCCACACAGGCUACUCACACCUCCGAAAUCUGAGGAGAACGGUGCUCCCAGCAAAAGUUAACUACUUGCGUAUAUUUUACCGGGCUCCCCCCUCCCCAAGCCGGAUUCAGCGGCUGAAUCCCUGGGCCCGAGAUAGACCCUGGAGAGCACCUAGAGCCAUCCUCCUGGCCUUGGAGAAGGAAUAAAUUUGCAAUUCGGGUGAAAAGGUAAUUUGCUAGCUCCUUUUUUUUUUUUUUAACCGGGAGAGCUCAGGACAGAAGCAGCUCCUGUCCAGGCAUAAACCGUCCAUCGACCUUGAGCACCUUUCCCUUCUGCAUGGACCUGUGUGGGCCUAUUUCAGGAGAAUUGGCCCUUGUUGGCAAACUCCAACCAUUUCAGCUGUGCGGUGGGAGAGGUGGGUGUUUGACAUUUGACAUUGUUUUGCCUAUUAAACAAGGUCCUCGCCUACCCACAUCAGGGACCUAAGGACUGGUAGCUCCACUCAGGUCACCCAGCCACCCACCACAGGGGUCCAAAGAUAACUGGUACCUCCCAGUCCUUCCAACCAAAAACCUUGGGUGCCCAUGGUCCCUCUGCAGAACCCACCUACUAGCACACUCUAGGGAACAGAGGCGCAUUUUCCUCAGAGACACCUGGGGGUCGGUUCUCAGCCCCCUGCCUUGUUCAGAGCGUGACCACCUGCUGCAGUCAGAUUCGGGUAUAUAUGCCAAUCACCCCUGCCCCUCUAAGACUGCAGGACAGAGCCUGUACCACACACUUGAUAUCAGCUACCUAGAAACAUGAGCUGAAUUCAUACAAGAAAACAGAAUGGACUCCUAGACUGAUAUACCUGAUAAGAGCUCUAGCCAGCUGGGGACAGGACACCAGAGCGCCAAAGGCGAAAAUAAUCAAGCUAGCUCCCUCAAGCAGCCCAUAGGGGUAUACCAAAACAAAACAAAGCAAGCAGCUACGACACAGUAAGCAAGCAUAAACUAAUACAAUAACAUAUAGAUGGCUUGGAGACAACAGUCAAUAUCAAGUCACAUAAAGAAACAGGCCAUCAUCACCUCAACAGGCUCUCAAAACAAAGAAUCCAGGGAUCUUUUAGAAGAAAGUGCAUUCCUGGAAUUACCAGAUGCAGAAUACAAGAGAUUAAUAUACAGAACCCUUCAAGACAUCAGGAAGGAAAUGAGGCAAUACGCAGAACAAGCCAAGGAACACACAGAUAAAGCAACUGAAGAAUUCAGAAAGAUUAUUCAGGAACAUAAUGAAAAGUUUAAUGAGCUGGAAAAAUCCAUACACAGACAGCAAUCAGAAAUUCAGAAGAUUAACAAUAAAAUUACAAAAUUAGAUAACUCAAUAGAAAGCCAGAGGAGCAGAAUUGAGCAAGUGGAAGCUAGAGUUUCGGAACUUGAAGAUAAAUCACUUGGCACUAAUAUAUAAGAAGAAAAAUCAGAUAAAAGAAUUUUGAAAAAAAUGAAGAAACCUUAAGAAUCAUGUGGGACUCUAUCAAGAGAAAUAAUCUAUGAGUGAUUGGAGUACCAGAACAGGUAGGGAUAACAGAAAAUACAGAGAAAAUUGUUGAGGAUUUGUUGGCAGAAAACUUCCCUGGUAUUGUGAAAGACGAGAAGAUGUCUGUUGAAGAUGCUCAUCGAACUCCAUAUAAGGUAGGUGUUACAAGAAAGUCACCAAGACAUAUUAUAAUCAAACUUGCCAAAACCAAAGAUAAACAGAGAAUUAUAAGACCAGUGAGGGAUAAACAAAAAGUCACCUAUAAAGGAGAGCCAAUAAGAAUAAGCUCGGACUACUCGGCAGAAACCAUGCAGGCAAGAAGGCAAUGGGAUGACAUAUUUAAAAAACUGAAGGAAAAAAUUGCUUGCCAAGAAUCAUAUAUCCAGCAAAACUGUCUCUUAAAUAUGAAGGUGAAAUUAAGACAUUUCCAGAUAAACACAAGUUUAGGGAAUUCAUAAAAACCAAACCAAAACUGUAAGAAAUACUAAAGGGAGUACUUUGAUUUGAAAUUCAAUAAUAUAAGGUAUCAACCCUAGACUAGAACACUGGGCAGAGCAACCAGAAGUCAACCCAGACAGGGAAAUCCAAAAAAAAAAAAAAAACCAAAGUAAAAUUAUUAAAAAAAAAAAAA